CCUACGGGGGGCUGCAGUGAGGAAUAUUGGUCAAUGGACGCAAGUCUGAACCAGCCAAGUCGCGUGAAGGAUGAAGGUAUUAUGUAUUGUAAACUUCUUUUGUCAGGGAAUAAUGGGUGUCACGUGUGACGCAGAGGAAUGUACCUGACGAAUAAGCAUCGGCUAACUCCGUGCCAGCAGCCGCGGUAAUACGGAGGAUGCGAGCGUUAUCCGGAUUUAUUGGGUUUAAAGGGUGCGUAGGCGGUUUGUUAAGUCAGUGGUGAAAGUUUGCGGCUCAACCGUAAAAUUGCCAUUGAAACUGGCGAACUUGAGUACAGUAGAGGUAGGCGGAAUUCGUGGUGUAGCGGUGAAAUGCUUAGAUAUCACGAAGAACUCCGAUUGCGAAGGCAGCUUGCUGGACUGUAACUGACGCUGAGGCACGAAAGCGUGGGGAUCAAACAGGAUUAGAUACCCCUGUAGUC
rnacentral:rRNA from 1 species